rnacentral:lncRNA from 1 species
GGGCCAAUCAGAACCUGCCGGGGGGUCUCUAUGCUGACCGGAAGUGGGUCUGUUACCCGGGGGCCAUCUUGCCGCUCGAGGUGCCGAGCCUUAGAGACGCGGGUCCCCGGGGGUCGAGGAAGGGGAGGCAGCUGUCGGUCACCGAGCUCCCGGGCGCAGGCCAGCCCGAGACCAGGCCCUAGAACCUUCCAGAUGCCGGUCUGCAGGGCAAGAUGGUGUGGACGCUCGAACCAAGAAUGUGCCCAUCCGAGAGUUUCUGCUGCCUGGUCCCGGUCCCAUCUGGGUGCAGGGAGCUUGUCCGACACGCCAGGCUUGGGAACGUGCCCCCUCCGGUCCCCGUGCCCGGGGCCAGGGGUGAGCGGGGGCGGGUGCAGACCCCAGAGGGCACUGGGCGGACGCCCCUCAACCCUGCCGGGUGUCACGGCGGCCGGCGCGCUUCAGCAGGGCCAGCGCCACCGGGUCUUUAUUUUCUCAGAAAAGCAGGGAAUCUUUCGUUUUUAAUGCCAUUCCUCCCAAUUUUUAAACAUUGGCAACGAUUUCAAAGUCACUUAAAACCCUGUUUUAAAAGCAAAAAAAAAAUAAAUAAAUAAAAAGGAGUGUGCCUGAUGGGGUU